rnacentral:rRNA from 1 species
AUUGAGCGCUGGCGGAAUGCUUUACACAUGCAAGUCGAACGGCAGCACGGGGGCAACCCUGGUGGCGAGUGGCGAACGGGUGAGUAAUAUAUCGGAACGUGCCCAGUCGUGGGGGAUAACGUAGCGAAAGUUACGCUAAUACCGCAUACGAUCUACGGAUGAAAGCGGGGGAUCGCAAGACCUCGCGCGAUUGGAGCGGCCGAUAUCAGAUUAGGUAGUUGGUGGGGUAAAGGCUCACCAAGCCAACGAUCUGUAGCUGGUCUGAGAGGACGACCAGCCACACUGGGACGGAGACACGGCCCAGACUCCUACGGGAGGCAGCAGUGGGGAAUUUUGGACAAUGGGCGCAAGCCUGAUCCAGCCAUUCCGCGUGCAGGACGAAGGCCUUCGGGUUGUAAACUGCUUUUGUACGGAACGAAAAAGCCUUGGCUAAUACCCAGGGUCCAUGACGGUACCGUAAGAAUAAGCACCGGCUAACUACGUGCCAGCAGCCGCAGUAA